rnacentral:lncRNA from 1 species
CAACAAUACAGGGGUCACUUGCCAUGGCCCCAGUCACAUCACUCAUCCCAAUGGUCUGAUCUAACUCUACAAAGUCUCCAUUCAUACUGGAGGCACAGGAAGCCUUCCCUGGCUUUUUCUAGAGUGGACCAGAAUCUCUUCUUCUCUCCCCCUGUAGCAGGUUGUGACCAGGCGUUCCUGUCACAGUGGCUUGGAAGUACACAGUAUGCUGCCCACAGAGAGAUUCUGCUGUCUGUGCCGUUCAGCUCCUCUCUCUUGCUUACUCUGAGAUAACCCAGCUGCCAUGCUCUGGACUGGCCCAUGAGAGCAACGAACCCGGUCCCAACAGCAGCUCGUGAGGAGCCAACUCCUGUCAUCAGCUGUGCACAUCACCUUUGCAGAAGACCGGGACCUCUCAACUUCUCAGAUGAGAUGGUAGCCCAGGAUCUCGCCUUCUCUGAAGCCUUUCAAGAGAGCCGAGGAUGCUGGUCCAGAGAAACGGAGACAAUAUAUGCCUGCUGUCCCGAGCCUCUACAUCGAAGAGUGCUUUUCAUGGAGUUGUAGGGAGCUGAUACUUACAGAGUUUUGAACUCUCACACACGCAAAGUGCGACCUCUGUCAAUGGGUUAUGUCCUCCCCAAAUUUUUUUUUUUUUUUUUUUUUGAGACAGGAUUUCUCCAUGUAACAGACCUGUGGCUGUCCUGGAACUUGAUCUGUAGGAUCUCUCUGUGGGCAACAUACUGUGUCCUCCCUCUACAUCCUGAGUCCUGGGAUUAAAGGCAUGUGCUA